GACGAACGCUGGCGGCGCGCUUAAUACAUGCAAGUCGAGCGGGAACCUCGGGCUUCGGCCUGGGGGGAGAGCGGCGAACGGGUGCGUAACACGUGAGAAACCUGCCUCGGAGUCCGGGAUAACCCAGGGAAACUUGGGCUAAUACCGGAUGCCCUCACCGGAUCGCAUGGUCGGGUGAGGAAAGUUCCGGCGCUUCGAGAUGGUCUCGCGGCCUAUCAGCUUGUUGGCGGGGUAACGGCCCACCAAGGCGACGACGGGUAGCUGGUCUGAGAGGACGAUCGGCCACACUGGGACUGGGACACGGCCCAGACUCCUACGGGAGGCAGCAGUAGGGAAUCUUGCUCAAUGGGCGAAAGCCUGAAGCAGCGACGCCGCGUGCGGGACGAAGGCCCUCGGGUCGUAAACCGCUUUCAGCAGGAACGAAAUUGACGGUACCUGCAGAAGAAGCCCCGGCCAACUACGUGCCAGCAGCCGCCGUAACAC
rnacentral:rRNA from 1 species